AGCAAAAAUUAGGUUACAAGUUAUUUUGACCAACUUAUAAGCUAAUCCAAACACCCACUUAAUUUUGCUGCCCGAAAUCCUAACAAUAACAAUUUUCAUAAUGGUCUCAAACAAGAAGUCUUUAAAUAAUUUCCACAAUAAAAAUGGCAGGGGACGUGGUGGUAGUGGUCGUUAUAACACGAUCCAACAUCAUAAUUUUAAUCAGCAAUCUGGUGAAUCAAUGCAAUGUCAAGUUUGUAACAGGAUCAGGAAACUACUUCUGAUGGAACCCUUGAGAAUGGAUUGUAUAAACUCCAAGUACCUCCGACAUCAUAUCUUAGAUCGGAAAAUAUGCAACCUCAUUCUCUAAUCCAACAUUGUAAGGAGCAUAGCCAGCGCAUUACAAUAUAUCACAAUCAGGCGACCUGAUGUUUCCUUUACUGUCAAUAAACUUUGUCAAUUUA